rnacentral:rRNA from 2 species
AAGCCUGAUCCAGCCAUGCCGCGUGAGUGAAGAAGGCCUUCGGGUUGUAAAGCUCUUUCGCAAGGGAAGAAAACGUGUGGGCUAAUAUCCUGCGCGGAUGACGGUACCUUGACAAGAAGCACCGGCUAACUACGUGCCAGCAGCCGCGGUAAUACGUAGGUGGCAAGCGUUGUCCGGAUUUACUGGGCGUAAAGGAUGCGUAGGCGGAUAUUUAAGUGAGAUGUGAAAUACCCGGGCUCAACUUGGGUGCUGCAUUUCAAACUGGAUAUCUAGAGUGCAGGAGAGGAAAGUGGAAUUCCUAGUGUAGCGGUGAAAUGCGUAGAGAUUAGGAAGAACAUCAGUGGCGAAGGCGACUUUCUGGACUGUAACUGACGCUGAGGCAUGAAAGCGUGGGGAGCAAACA